AUUUUUUACGCGACAUUUGUGUUGAUCUAUUCGGUUAUUAUCACGGGCGAUUGUUGAAAACGACAAUAAUAAGAGCACAAAUUUACGAGCACCUGCAUUUUCACCUAUCUACUCCGUUUUGGAGAGCACGUGCCGCAGUUGCCCUCAACGUAACAUGUAUACACGACCACGAAACCACAUCUGUUUUAAAAUCCAGGAGGUAAAUUCCUAAAAGGACGUUAUA